UACGUAGGGUGCAAGCGUUAAUCGGAAUUACUGGGCGUAAAGCGUGCGCAGGCGGCUUUGCAAGACAGAUGUGAAAUCCCCGGGCUCAACCUGGGAACUGCAUUUGUGACUGCAUGGCUAGAGUACGGUAGAGGGGGAUGGAAUUCCGCGUGUAGCAGUGAAAUGCGUAGAUAUGCGGAGGAACACCAAUGGCGAAGGCAAUCCCCUGGACCUAUACUGACGCUCAUGCACGAAAGCGUGGGGAGCAAACA
rnacentral:rRNA from 1 species